GACGAACGCUGGCGGCGUGCUUAACACAUGCAAGUCGAACGGAAAGGCCCUGCUUUUGUGGGGUGCUCGAGUGGCGAACGGGUGAGUAACACGUGAGUAACCUGCCCUUGACUUUGGGAUAACUUCAGGAAACUGGGGCUAAUACCGGAUAGGAGCUCCUGCUGCAUGGUGGGGGUUGGAAAGUUUCGGCGGUUGGGGAUGGACUCGCGGCUUAUCAGCUUGUUGGUGGGGUAGUGGCUUACCAAGGCUUUGACGGGUAGCCGGCCUGAGAGGGUGACCGGCCACAUUGGGACUGCGAUACGGCCCAGACUCCUACGGGAGGCAGCAGUGGGGAAUAUUGCACAAUGGGCGGAAGCCUGAUGCAGCAACGCCGCGUGCGGGAUGACGGCCUUCGGGUUGUAAACCGCUUUCGCCUGUGACGAAGCGUGAGUGAUGGUAAUGGGUAAAGAAGCACCGGCUAACUACGUG
rnacentral:rRNA from 1 species